rnacentral:rRNA from 1 species
ACGAUACGAGUUUGAUCCUGGCUCAGGAUGAACGCUAGCGGCAGGCUUAAUACAUGCAAGUCGAGGGGCAGCGCGGGUAGCAAUACCUGGCGGCGACCGGCAAACGGGUGCGGAACACGUACGCAACCUUCCCAUAACUGGUGAAUAGCCCUCCGAAAGGAGGAUUAAUACACCGUAAGAUAACGAAGAGGCAUCUCUUUGUUAUUAUAGCUACGGCGGUUUUGGAUGGGCGUGCGCCUGAUUAGGUAGUUGGCGGGGUAACGGCCCACCAAGCCUACGAUCAGUAACUGGUGUGAGAGCACGACCAGUCACACGGGCACUGAGACACGGGCCCGACUCCUACGGGAGGCAGCAGUAAGGAAUAUUGGUCAAUGGACGCAAGUCUGAACCAGCCAUGCCGCGUGAAGGAUGAAGGUCCUCUGGAUUGUAAACUUCUUUUAUCUGGGACGAAAAAAGGGCUUUCUAGCUCACUUGACGGUACCAGAGGAAUAAGCACCGGCUAACUCCGUG